UUUUCAACAAAGCAUGGGAAAAAAACGUGCUAAAGGUUGACGGGAUAUGACGUAUUAAUUGUGAGACGUUCUUUUUUUUUUUUUAACCUCGCAGGUGCUAAAGGAGAGUGUGGGUUACAUGCAGUGAAGUUUUUCAGUCCGCUGCUGAGAGGAGAAACAGAGCAAGAUGGUGGUCGUGGGAAAGACUAGCGCCAUAGCUGCAGGCGUUUGCGGGGCCUUGUUUUUGGGUUACUGCAUUUAUUUUGACAGGAAACGGAGGAAUGAUCCCAACUUCAAGAACCGGCUGCGAGAGAAGAGGAGAAAACAGAAACUUGCUAAAGAGAGAGCUGGUCAGCCAAGGUUACCAGAUCUUAAAGACGCAGAGGCUGUUCAGAAGUUUUUCCUUGAAGAAAUUCAACUUGGAGAAGAACUACUUGGACAAGGUGAUUUUGAAAAGGGUGUGGAUCAUUUGACAAAUGCUAUUGCAGUUUGCGGGCAACCUCAACAGCUUCUUCAAGUCUUACAGCAGACUCUUCCACCACAAGUUUUCCAGAUGCUUUUAACUAAAUUGCCAACUAUCAGCCAGCUGUCGGCUUUGCACUGAAUCGUGGAAAUGCCGGAUGAAGAUUCUGAGGGAGGUUAUAUCGAGAUCAUGAUGAGAAUUGGAAAUGCUCAGAAUCUAACUGAAGAUGAUGUUGAAUAAAAAUGGAACCAAGUCAUGUUGCUUUAGCACACCUGAUCUGUGACAUUUAAAUGUUAUUGAAUAUGCUACUGUUAAAUACAAGCAUUUUUCUGUCCUGUUAAUACAUAUUUGUUACCAGUAAAUUUAAUGUACAAGAAAUAAACAUGCCAUCUAAACACUUUUGUGUGUA